UACGUAGGUGACCAGCGUUGUCCGGAUUUACUGGGCGUAAAGGGCGCGUAGGCGGCGCGGUAAGUCACUUGUGAAAUCUCUGAGCUUAACUCAGAACGGCCAAGUGAUACUGCAGUGCUAGAGUGCAGAAGGGGCAAUCGGAAUUCCUGGUGUAGCGGUGAAAUGCGCAGAUAUCAGGAGGAACACCGGUGGCGAAGGCGGGACUCUGGGCCGAUACUGACGCUGAGGAGCGAAAGCGUGGGGAGCGAACAGG
rnacentral:rRNA from 1 species